CGCACGAAAAUCCAACCCGCUGGGCAUCUCUGCUUUCAUCGUCCUGCUCGGCAUUCGCGCCACCCUGAAGACUGACAUCGGUUGGAGCUCUGCCGAACUUGUCUACCGCGCUGCGCUACGGCUCCCAACCGAUUUCUUUUGCCACUCCGAACCCUCUACCACCAGCCACAGCCCCUACCUAGAAAACCUCCAGCAUUUAGUCAUUUCUUAAGAAAAUGAAAAUAACAUAAUGGCCGCAUUAUGAAGAGAAGACAACAUACGGUCGCGUUCAACGUCGAUGCCGACAACGGGAUAUACGACAAAAAGCGCCGAAAGAGCGAUCAGUUUAAAAGUAGAAGAGGAAGCUAGAAAACAGUAGGAGAAAGAAGAAGAAGAAGAAGAAGAAAUCAGAAAUCUAGAACAGCCACAAGAAACGACGAUGGCGACAGAGCACGACUUAGUCAUCGGCGGGAACCUCGCAAGACGGGAAAGCGCCAGCAGCGACAGGACGUUGCCGGCGGCGGAAGGCAACGAGGAGGUUCCCGCCGUCGCCGCAACUGUUCCACGACAGAAGGUCGCGGCGCACACAAAACGCUUGGAACGAUACAACGAAUGGGAAGACUUGGACGUUCCACCACCCCGAGAGAAACCGGCACGUGAAACACCAUACUUCAUGCAUGUUGCUCGGCAGGUCAUGUCCAUCCCAUGUUACCUCUUCUUAGGCAACAUAUCAACCUUCGUCAUUCUCAUCAUCACGUCCCACAUCGCCAAGCACUGGCUCACGCCCGUGGGGUCCGGCACAACUAGCGGCCUAGAAUAUGCGACGCCCCUGAUCAUUGAAGCCAUCCGGGAACACAGGACGUGCAACAACACGCGAUGUGGAGCUAUGGGCCACGCAUUCAUGUACACUCUCAACGAUUCCAUCUCGCCCUGUACCAGCGUCUGGGAUCAUGCGUGCACCGGAUGGAUCAAGACGCCCGAACCUGUGUACCGUAAGGUCAUCCCAACAAACCAUAAAAAGCCCAUGGACGUCCUCAUCUGGUCCAGACGUCCUCGUCCAAUUUAAACAUCAUUAGGACAUCCAUAGGUAGUGUCACAAGGGCUGUCAAUUGUAUGACAUCCAGAGGAUUGUAUUUUGACAUUCUGCUCUGGACGUAAUGUGGUUCUAAGGUGGGGGUGAGUGUCACUUCAGUGGAAUUAGAUAUGCAUGAUGCUAGGCACGUGCCCGAUACAAGAUUUUUCAGGUUAAAUGGACAAAAAUUAUUGUGUACAGCUAUUUUUGUGUCUUGGGCCGCGAUGGCUGCAUGCCAACACGAACUCCCGCGUCCUUACCCGUUCAUCAUGCCACCAGCCAGCGCUGUUUGUCGCGCAUGCGCAGUUUUGUGUUUUGUUCGGUUCGCUUUGGCUGUAACGGACGUUUCUCAUCGCCGUGAGUGGUACGCAUGAUCUCGAGCGUAUUAUUGUUCCGCUAAGUCUGCAGCUAUUAGAGGGUUUGUACUGUCGUUCCCAGUUUAUGCUGUCGUUCUAGCAACCCGUCUGAGAAAGAGCCCGUAGAGGGAAAUGUUUCUACCAACCCCCGAGCAGACCAGUCAGGCUCGUUUGAAAUGUCAAGUGAGGACGCGGCCCUGGAUCUGAAGCCAAAAUCUCUCUUCGCCAUCAGGAUUUUUGUCGUGUCAGUCAAUCUGAACAACGACAGGGAGACGGAACGCAAGACGAAACCGUGAGCGACUUUGUGCAGACGGCGUGUAUGGCGCAACGUGCACCAGGAAGAAAGACGCAAGCAUUGUGUUCAAUGUGGCGGAGACUCAUGCACGUCAUAACAAGAUUUGCAAAUGCUUUGAGAAAGACAAGUUGGACCGGAAGUGAGAAUCUAUGUGCUUUUUUUUCCGUUGUUGUUCAUCGUCCAAUCACUGCGAAUUUUGUGCCUGCGUGAGACGAAUGCUUAGGUGUGUUGAUGAUGAAUGGGGAUGGUUUGAGAGGUACGGACUUGUGAGUGGUGAAUAAAGUGAUUUCUUGCUGCUAUA